GAUGAAGAACGCAGCGAAAUGCGAUAAGUAAUGUGAAUUGCAGAAUUCAGUGAAUCAUCGAAUCUUUGAACGCACCUUGCACCCUUUGGCAUUCUGAAGGGUAUGCCCGUUUGAGUGUCAUUGUACUCUCACACUCCCGAUCUUUGCAUUGGGAGCAGUGGACUUGGGUUUGCUGCUUCACCGUCGCUUACCUCAAAUAGGUUAGUGCAACUCUUGGUUGGACAUAGUACGGCGUGAUAAGUGUUCUUCGCCGGUGCCUCGCAAAGAGGGUGGCCGAUCGGGAUGUUGUGCUCCAAACCGUCUUCGGACAAUCUCUGACGACUUGACCUCAAAUCGAGUAAGACUACCCGCUGAACUUAAGCAUAUCAAUAAGCGGAGGA
rnacentral:misc_RNA from 1 species